UGGAACAGUUUCCACAUUGCCAGUCGAGAAGGCGACCCUCUGAUCCUCCAGUACCUGCUCACUGUUUGCCCAGGUGCCUGGAAGACAGAGAGCAAAAUUAGAAGGACUCCUCUGCACACUGCAGCAAUGCAUGGCCAUUUAGAGGCGGUCAAGGUGCUUCUUAAGAGGUGCCAAUAUGAACCAGACUACAGAGACAACUGUGGCGUCACCCCCUUGAUGGAUGCAAUCCAGUGUGGUCACAUCGACGUCGCUAGGCUGCUCCUCAGUGAACAUGGGGCUUGCCUUUCAGCAGAAGACAGCCUGGGUGCCCAGGCUCUGCACAGGGCAGCCGUCACAGGGCAGGACGAAGCCAUCCGAUUCUUGGUCUCUGAACUUGGCGUCGAUGUAGAUGUGAGAGCCACAUCAACCCACCUCACAGCACUUCAUUAUGCAGCUAAGGUUUGUUACUUCUUAUAACGUCCCAGCUUCCCCGAGGCUUGCCUUACUCCAUUGAUGGGUAGCUCCGUAGCCUGGUUUCUUUGGCCCCAUCUCUAUGGAAGAAAUUGCCCAUGAUAUUCUUCUGAAAUGGUCAGGAUUCUGAAGUGCUUUAUCUCUUUAAAUAGAAACCUGACUUGAAUUUGUUUCUAGGCAAAAACUUAAAAAAAAGCCUUUUACUCCAUAAAGUGCCUCCCCCUCACACACAGGUUUUUGUUUUCAGAAAUAAUGUUAUUUGAAGCCAUAAAUACCCAUUGUAUGAAA
rnacentral:sRNA from 1 species